rnacentral:rRNA from 1 species
GUCUGUGGCCAUGCCACCCUGAACACACCCAAUCUCCUCUGAUCUCAGAAGCUGAGCAGGGUCGGUCCUGAUUAGUACUUGGAUGGGAGACCACCUAGGAAGACCAGGUGCUGUAGGCG